AGUGAACGCUGGCGGUAGGCCUAACACAUGCAAGUCGAACGGCAGCACAGUAAAAGCUUGCUCUUACGGGUGGCGAGUGGCGGACGGGUGAGGAAUACAUCGGAAUCUACUUUUUCGUGGGGGAUAACGUAGGGAAACUUACGCUAAUACCGCAUACGACCUACAGGUGAAAGCAGGGGAUCUUCGGACCUUGCGCGUAUGGAUGCGCCGAUGUCGGAUGAGCUAGUGGGCGGGGUAAAGGCCCACCAAGGCAAGGAUCCGUAGCUGGUCUGAGAGGAUGAUCAGCCACACUGGAACUGAGACACGGUCCUGACUCUUACGGGAGGCAGCAGUGGGGAAUAUUGGACAAUGGGCGCGAGCCUGAUCCAGCCAUAUCGCGUGAGUGAAGAUGGCCUUCGGGUUGUAAAGCCAUUUUGUUGGGAAAGAAAAGCAGCAGGUUAAUACCCCGCUGUUAUGACGGUACCCAAAGAAUAAGCACCGGCUAACUUCGUG
rnacentral:rRNA from 1 species